rnacentral:rRNA from 1 species
UACCAUGCAGUCGAGCGGUAGCACAGGGGAGCUUGCUCCCUGGGUGACGAGCGGCGGACGGGUGAGUAAUGUCUGGGAAACUGCCUGAUGGAGGGGGAUAACUACUGGAAACGGUAGCUAAUACCGCAUAACGUCGCAAGACCAAAGAGGGGGACCUUCGGGCCUCUUGCCAUCAGAUGUGCCCAGAUGGGAUUAGCUAGUAGGUGGGGUAAUGGCUCACCUAGGCGACGAUCCCUAGCUGGUCUGAGAGGAUGACCAGCCACACUGGAACUGAGACACGGUCCAGACUCCUACGGGAGGCAGCAGUGGGGAAUAUUGCACAAUGGGCGCAAGCCUGAUGCAGCCAUGCCGCGUGUGUGAAGAAGGCCUUCGGGUUGUAAAGCACUUUCAGCGAGGAGGAAGGUGGUGAACUUAAUACGUUCAUCAAUUGACGUUACUCGCAGAAGAAGCACCGGCUAACUCCGUGCCAGCAGCCGCGGUAAUACGGAGGGUGCAAGCGUUAAUCGGAAUUACUGGGCGUAAAGCGCACGCAGGCGGUUUGUUAAGUCAGAUGUGAAAUCCCCCGGGCUCAACCUGGGGAACUGCAUUUUGAAACUGGGCAAGCUUAGAGUCUCCGUAGA